CAGCUUGUUGGUGAGGUAAUGGCUCACCAAGGCGACGACGGGUAGCCGGCCUGAGAGGGCGACCGGCCACACUGGGACUGAGACACGGCCCAGACUCCUACGGGAGGCAGCAGUGGGGAAUAUUGCACAAUGGGCGAAAGCCUGAUGCAGCGACGCCGCGUGAGGGAUGACGGCCUUCGGGUUGUAAACCUCUUUCAGCAGGGAAGAAGCGAAAGUGACGGUACCUGCAGAAGAAGCGCCGGCUAACUACGUGCCAGCAGCCGCGGUAAUACGUAGGGCGCAAGCGUUGUCCGGAAUUAUUGGGCGUAAAGAGCUCGUAGGCGGCUUGUCGCGUCGGUUGUGAAAGCCCGGGGCUUAACCCCGGGUCUGCAGUCGAUACGGGCAGGCUAGAGUUCGGUAGGGGAGAUCGGAAUUCCUGGUGUAGCGGUGAAAUGCGCAGAUAUCAGGAGGAACACCGGUGGCGAAGGCGGAUCUCUGGGCCGAUACUGACGCUGAGGAGCGAAAGCGUGGGGAGCGAACAGGAUUAGAUACCCUGGUAGUCCACGCCGUAAACGGUGGGCACUAAGUGUGGGCAACAUUCCACGUU
rnacentral:rRNA from 1 species